GUCUACGGCCAUACCACCCUGAAUGUGCCCGAUCUUGUCUGAUCUCGGAAGCUAAGCAGGGUCAGGCCUGGUUAGUACUUGGAUGGGAGAAAGUACCAUGUAUUGAGGAAA
rnacentral:rRNA from 1 species